UACGGAGGGGGCAAGCGUUAUUCGGAAUUAUUGGGCGUAAAGGGCGCGUAGGCGGCUAGAUGUGUCAAAGGUGAAAUCCCUCGGCUCAACUGAGGAACUGCCUUUGAAACUGUCUGGCUUGAGGCCGGGAGAGGAGACUGGAAUUCAUGGUGUAGCAGUGAAAUGCGUAGAGAUCAUGAGGAAGACCAGUGGCGAAGGCGGGUCUCUGGGCCGUAACUGACGCUGAGGAGCGAAAGCAUGGGGAGCGAACAGG
rnacentral:rRNA from 1 species